AAUGGGCGAAAGCCUGACGCAGCAACGCCGCGUGGAUGAUGAAGGUCUUCGGAUUGUAAAGUCCUUUUAGUGGGGAAGAAAUCAAUGACGGUACCCACAGAAAAAGCCACGGCUAACUACGUGCCAGCAGCCGCGGUAAGACGUAGGUGGCAAGCGUUAUCCGGAAUUACUGGGCGUAUAGGGCGUGUAGGCGGUUAUAUAAGUCAGAAGUUAAAACAAUGGGCUCAACCCAUCUGAGCUUUUGAAACUGUGUGACUAGAGUAUAAGAGAAGAAAGUGGAAUUACCAGAGUAGCGGUGGAAUGCGUAGAUACUGGUAGGAAGGCCAAAGACGAAGGUAGCUUUCUGGAUUAAUACUGACGCUGAGGCGCUAAAGCUAGGGGAGCAAACAGGAUU
rnacentral:rRNA from 1 species